rfam:Capsicum annuum cultivar Zunla-1 chromosome 5, whole genome shotgun sequence
GGCUAUUGCAAUGAUGAUGACAUUUUCCCAGUUUAUUGUGAGACCUUAUAUUUUAAGGUCCGGCAAUAUACUCUGUUUUCAACACAUAUAUGUCUAAGCUUCGCU